UGAUUAUUAAGACUUUUUUAGUCUGUAAUCCUGUCACCUUAGGUCGAUCGGUACCUCAGAUUGAGAGCCUAAUGAAAUAAUGAUUUUUUCAUUACUUUUAAGGCCAUUGAUUUUAGUUCCUAAACUUGUCUAGGUCACACCCAAUGAACUUUCUUCUGGGCUAUUAGCUCAGGUGGUUAGAGCGCACCCCUGAUAAGGGUGAGGUCCCUGGUUCAAGUCCAGGAUGGCCCAUUCGUUGUUGGGGGUAUAGCUCAGUUGGUAGAGCGCCUGCUUUGCAAGCAGGAUGUCAGCGGUUCGAGUCCGCUUACCUCCACUGAUCCACUACCUAAUAACUCUUUGAAAAUGAAGAUUGCUUUUGGCUGUGUGAUUUAGAUGUUGUUCGCUGAAUGAACCUAGCUUCAUGUCAUCCCUUGAAAUAGAGGUUGAUAAGACGCUGGGCUCACUGUUUAUCUUUAAUGAUUUACAGAGAUGUUCGGUAGAACCUUGACAACUGCAUAGGUAAGUCUGGAAAGAAUAAAGCAUCUCAUGGAUGCAUAUAUUCUAUUAAUUAAGAUUAGAUUCUUUUUAUAGAAUAAAUGUUUAAUUCUUGAGCAAAGAGCCGAGAUCUAAAG
rnacentral:tRNA from 1 species